AGAUGUUCUAUUCUAAAUGUGAGUGUGGGGAGGAGUAGUGGCAGCAUGUCCUUGUUGAGUUUCACAAGAAAGAAAUCACCUCCUCCACACUACGAGUCCACACUUGGGAGUGCUCACAUGCCACCGAUGGGAAAGCUGUGAAAGGGUUGACAGAAACAACCCAAUGAUAAGAAAGAAACAAAGUGAGAUAAGGCACUUGGGAAGAAGGAUCCAGUCCACCAGAAACCUGGAGCGGCACAUUGCCUUGCAGUUACAGCAUUUUUUGAAUCCCCAAGCUGGAAAAUCAGUUGAUUUGUCCAAGAGCAAAAGCAACAUUUCUCUAAAUCAUUCUGGAUGAAACCAUCUGCUAAAGGACUAAGACAUAAAAGUUAUGACCAAAUUGCCCUGGAUAAGACCAUCUGCUAAAUUAAACAUUUGAAAUAAAAUAACA